GAGUUUCACUCCAGUGAUUUUCUAAACAGUUGUGUUGUUGUGUUUUCUGGAUACAGAGGGAUUAAAAGUUAUUCAUAUAGUAAAAUGUCUCUCCCUUAUAAACAAUUACCAUGGCUUUGUAGGGAACUCUUUUUAUGACUACUGCCUUUCCUGAGGAUCUUAUGGCCAUUGACUAUGGGCAUUUUUUCUAGUUUUUAAAUGCGUGUGAUUUGGGGACACUGUGGAAAUCUGCUGACUUCUUUAAGAAAGCUAAACAAAGAAAAUUCAAGAGGAUCAAUGGAGGGAAACUUUUCACUUGGGAAAACAGUAACUGCAGAAAUAGAAGUGAUACUCCUGACCUUCAUGAUGUUAUACAACCUGAGAGAUUAAAUCAGGAUGAUGGAAAAGGGGAAGAAAACAAAGUGUUUGCACUGUUCUACAGAAAUCAAGUAAAUUGGGUAAAUACUUGUCAGUGUGGUAUAAUAUGGCAGAAUAAAGAAUAUAUUAGAUUGUAUCAGAUUCUAGUCAAUUUCUGGCUAUGGGGGAAAAAAACUAGAUAAAUGGGUUAAAAUAAACAGGAGUAUUUUUCCUAUUGAUGAAAAUAUGUUCCUGAUCACCAACUAGAUGACAAUACUUUCAAUAGCAGCAGAUACCUGUUCACCUAAAAAUCUGUCAUUUGGGAAUGGGGUCAAUUUUGCAUUGAUGAGUAUUGUGUCAGUAUUUAUGAUCUUGAAACCCUUUAAGUGAACACAUUUACUUAGUGCUUCUUAUCAAUACUGAAGAAUAAUUAGAGCUAACAGUAAUCCCUUCGUUGACUCUGAAGUGGUAACUAGUCAAGCUGGUAAUCUUUAAAAAAGCAAUUGUCCCUAAUGAAAAC
rnacentral:lncRNA from 1 species